ensembl:lncRNA
CAGCUUUUCAUGAUCCUGAGUUGAAAAUAUGGAUAUGCUGUUUGCACAGACAAGCAUGCAUCAGACAGACAGUAUGUGGUCUGCCAGCAUACCAUCUGAGAUUUUAAUGGAAGAAUCUUGAUGCAUCUUGACCUUUGUGCAAGAACUCCCAGCAGACUGUGUUCAAGAAUAAAAUGUUUUCUCUGGUUUUUCUGCAGGUAUAUGAAGAGGAACCUUGUAAGGAGGACUGGAAUCUAUAUAUAAAGAACUCAUCUGGGAAAAUAGGCUUUCACAGCUGUAGAGCAGCCAAUGGAGCAAUAUUUGCGGAUGAUAAGAGCAGCCAGAGCAGGGCUGGAAAUGAAGAAACUAAUGGUGUGAUGUGAUGCUGACCAGAGACAUGAGCAAUUCGGUGAUACACAGCUGCUCUGAAGAAAUAUUUAAGGUGUAUUAGUUCCAGGUGACCUUUGUGAAAUGCUGCAGACAAAAUAUACACAUAAAGACGGAGCCUGUGAUGGAUAGAGACUGGAGAUUGAUAUUGAUUAUAUGUGUUCAGACAGAAAGAUGCUCACCAUCAAAAUAGGAUCGACCGCUCCUGGAUAUAGAGGUACUGUGAAGACUGACUUCAGUCACAAAAACUGCUCUAUUUCUCUCUCCUUUCCAUCUUUCUUAGACUGAAUGUCCAAAAUAGAAUUUAUGUUGAAUGCUUUGUGGUCUCUAGGUACUCUUGAAAUGUUUCUCUCUCAUUU